CUUUUUGAGGAUUUGAUCCUGGUCCAGGAUGAACGCUAGCGACGUGCUUUAGGCAUGCAAGUAGAACGAGAGUAGUAAUACUCUAGUUGCGAACGGCUGAGUAUAAAAUAGGAAUCUACCCAAUGGUGUGGAAUACCUCCGCGAAAGCGGAGCUAAUACCACAUGACUCCUGAGAGUAAUCGAAGGAAAAAGCGCUUAACCGCGCGCCGAUGGAUGAGCCUAUUUCCCAUCAGUUAGUUGGUAGGGUAAUGGCCUACCAAGACUAUGACGGGUAGGGGAUUUGAGAGGAUGACCCCCCAGAAUGGGACUGAGACACGGCCCAUACACCUACGGGUGGCAGCAACCGGGAAUCGUGCGCAAU
rfam:Microgenomates (Woesebacteria) bacterium GW2011_GWB1_33_22 TR35_C0003, whole genome shotgun sequence.